AUUGAACGCUGGCGGCAGGCCUAACACAUGCAAGUCGAACGAGUGGCGGACGGGUGAGUAAUGCCUGGGAAUCUACCUUAUGGAGGGGGAUAACUACUGGAAACUGUAGCUAAUACCGCGUACCAUCGGAUGUGCCCAAGUGGGAUUAGGUAGUGGGUGGGGUAAAGGCUCACCAAGCCGACGAUCCCUAGCUGGUCUGAGAGGAUGACCAGCCACACUGGGACUGAGACACGGCCCAGACUCCUACGGGAGGCAGCAGUGGGGAAUAUUGCGCAAUGGGGGCAACCCUGACGCAGCCAUGCCGCGUGUAUGAAGAAGGCCUUCGGGUUGUAAAGUACUUUCGGUAGCGAGGCGUUAACUACAGAAGAAGCACCGGCUAACUCCGUGCCAGCAGCCGCGGUAAUUC
rnacentral:rRNA from 1 species